UUGUCUGCCUAAAUUGAUAUUCAACUAAAAGUCAAUACUGUUUUCAUUAAAAUAAAUGUUAAAGAAAAAAAGAAGGUAGAUUUACUUUUCGAGCAUAAGUGCCAUCUGUGAAUCUACAUUAUUAACAUAACAUCUGUGAAUCUCCAUUAUUAACAUAUUCUAGAAUAAAUUAAUACAUCAAACAUAUUACUUGAUAAAAUAUAAUGAUAUAGUAAUUGUUUUGCUACCAUAUCAAUAUGUUUAUAUUUAUUUGAUUAGAGUUAUACUUAUAAUUAUUAUUAACAUUCCUUUUUAUUGUUAUUUAUUUAUUAUUGUCGUGUUACAAAAUAAAUAUUUAUUUACAGGAUUUUAAAAUUUAUAUACACUAAUUAUGAGCAUGAAAGUUACAUUGCGCAAAACAAUCUCAUUUUCAGCUAAUGAGGUAUAUAGACAAAGAAAAAAUCUACAAAGGCAAAAGAAACGUAAACGAAAUGCAAGUGAUUUGAAUUGUUCAUUGCUACAUGAAUUGAAAAAUGUGCUUGAUUGCAUUCAUUGUGGUGCAAGAAGAUUUGAAUAUGAACCUCCUACUUU